rnacentral:rRNA from 1 species
GAUGAACGCUGGCGGCGUGCCUAAUACAUGCAAGUCGAGCGAACAGAUAAGGAGCUUGCUCCUUUGACGUUAGCGGCGGACGGGUGAGUAACACGUGGGUAACCUACCUAUAAGACUGGAAUAACUCCGGGAAACCGGGGCUAAUGCCGGAUAACAUUUUGAACCGCAUGGUUCUACAGUGAAAGGCGGCUUUGCUGUCACUUAUAGAUGGACCCGCGCCGUAUUAGCUAGUUGGUGAGGUAACGGCUCACCAAGGCAACGAUACGUAGCCGACCUGAGAGGGUGAUCGGCCACACUGGAACUGAGACACGGUCCAGUCUCCUACGGGAGGCAGCAGUAGGGAAUCUUCCGCAAUGGGCGAAAGCCUGACGGAGCAACGCCGCGUGAGUGAUGAAGGUCUUCGGAUCGUAAAACUCUGUUAUUAGGGAAGAACAAAUGCGUAAGUAACUGUGCGCGUCUUGACGGUACCUAAUCAGAAAGCCACGGCUAACUACGUG